rnacentral:tRNA from 1 species
UGGCUCAGAUGGUAAAGCAUCUGCCUACAAUGCUGGAGACCCAGGUUCGAUCCCUGG